GCAAGGAUGCAGAGGUCUUGGAUAAAUGACUGGAGAAGAGUUGUUUGAGGAAAUGCUCAGAAUCAAGCAUGGAAUGAUAGAGGUUGUGCAUGACCAUAAGCAGACUGAAACAUCUUCCUCUUCCCUGAGGUCUAAGAAUCUGGCUGCUGGGUUGGAAAAUCUGUCUGCAGAGUGAAUGAACUAAAACCUGUGAAAAGAAAAUGAAGGGAGUUAAACCAGAACUGUGGAUCUCCUGGGCUAGGUUUAAGCUGCAAUGCUAAGAUGCAGUUAUCAUCCAUUUAAACAAUGCCAAACCUCUGAGCCUGCUCUCCCUUGUGCCGGUACCAACAACAGUGAUCAGUGUUGGAACAAUGAGACUCGCCCUGAAGUUACUGAUCGAGGGGCACUGCUGUCACACGGACCAAAGGAAAAGGUAGAAGUCUCUGCCAGAGCAACUGUGUUACUUGUUAAAGGUGUGUGUCCCCACAGCCCUGGACUUGCUGUCACUCCUGACAUGAUCAGUGAGAUGACUGGGACCUUUAUGACCUUAAAAUGGAAGUACGAACAAGAAUGUAAAACUGUGCUGAGAUUAAUUUGUUCCUCUCUAACUCAGUAAUCUUGUGAGUGCUACAAAUGAAAGGACAUUCCCUGCUUAACAAAAGCUUCUCUUGUGCUCUGAUUGUCCUACUUUAGCUUUCUUUAUUUCAUUACCCAGCUCCAUACAAGAUCUUGAGAGUGUGGUGCAGAAUACGAUGCAGAAAUAUACUCAGUCUUCAAAGUAGGAAUGUAGUGAAUGCUCCUAAAUCAGGAUAGCAGCACAUCUCUGAGUUACUUGUGGAUAUAGAUUCACAGUAAUGAACAAUUGGGUCAGUCCGUAUUUAUUCCUUCUUGUGAAAAUACAAAAAAUAUAUAACUACCAUAAAACAUUAUGUUACUUUCAUGAAGAUACAAAAGGUAUAAUCUGUUUAUAAUACAGGGAGUUAUUUGUGUCUUCAUUGGGGACUUUAUGAUGCAAAUGACUAGUUCUUACCUUCACUGAUCUCAGGCAAUGGAUGUCGUUGUCACAAGGCUGGAACAUCAUUUGUUAUUUCUUUGGUGUGGUACUU